rnacentral:rRNA from 1 species
UACGGAGGGUGCAAGCGUUACCCGGAAUCACUGGGCGUAAAGGGCGUGUAGGCGGGUGAUUAAGUCUGGCUUUAAAGACCGAGGCUCAACCUCGGGAAUGGGCUGGAUACUGAUCGUCUAGACCUCUGGAGAGGUACUCGGAAUUUCUGGUGUAGCGGUGGAAUGCGUAGAUACCAGAAGGAACACCAGUGGCGAAAGCGGCUUCCUGGUCCAGCACCGACGUCAGGCACGGAAAGCGUGGGGAGCAAACAGG